rnacentral:pre_miRNA from 1 species
UUAAUACUCCCUCCGUCCCAAAAUUCUUGUCUUAGAUUUGUCUAAAUACGGAUGUAUCAAGUCACGUUUUAGUAUUAGAUACAUCCGUAUCUAGGCAAAUCUAAGACAAGAAUUUAGGGACGGAGGGAGUACAAU